rnacentral:lncRNA from 1 species
UUAUGUAAACAUAUAUAUAUAUAUAUAUCAUGCUAAACAUAGGUUUUUCGAAACCUAGCAUGCUGUGUAAUGUCUCAAAUCAUAACUUGUAUAUAUAAUAAUCACUAGGGAAUGUCCGAGAACCCCCAGGCCCCAUGCUGGCUCCUUGUUUCUGAGCAGACAGUCAAAGGAAAAUACACUUCAGGCCUCAUGCCGGCUCCCCGUCCCUGUGCUAAUAGCCAGAGGAAACACACUCCAGGCCCUAUGCCAACACCAAACUGUUGCUCGGGACUGAUCGGAAUCUAUCCCUACGUCCCGUAACGGAAAAUGACCACUAGGUAAGUACAAAACCACUGAACAUAUAUAUAUUGAAAAGCAACUUCAUAGUAUAAAGUCAUCCAUCAUCUAUACUAUAAAGAGAUGUUCUAAACAUGUUCUAAAUAUCAUAUCGUCAUCCAUAAGAUAUUCUAUAAGAACACGGGUUAUAGGAAAAAUAGUAAUAAUUCAAACUAGCCUCAAUAAGCAUGUUAUCUCAUAAAGCGUUCCAUAUAACAUAAUUGUUAAAUCAUGCUUUCAUGUAUGCAUUUCUACUAUCAAAACAUGCAUUUUUAGAAGGGGUUCACUCACAGUACUUAGCCACCAAAGAGCCACGCAACUAGAGAAGACGGAAACACCACAAAUAAUUGCCUCUAAGCACACAAAGAGUCCAAUUAGUAAAACUAUAUAAUAGCAAUUGAAUUUGGGAAAACAGACAUUGGAAACAGAUUCAGAACAUCGAAUUACCCUAACAAGGGUCCCAGAUAAAUUUCGUAAAAGUUAAUAGAAUAUUCCUAGAAUAUUCCCUGAGGGAAUAUUCCACAUAAAGGGUUUGGGUCGGCUUUUAUGGGUUGGGGUUUCACAGGCCUUUUUGCACGGCCCAAAUAGGCCUUAGCUCACUGGGUCUUUGGGCUUGAAAGCCUGGCCCGAAUUCAAACUAUGGGUCGCCGGACCCAAAGGAAGAAGAAGGUCAGAUUUCGGUUGGAAUUUUAGACAAACUUUAAACGUUCAUAACUUUGUCAAUACUCAACCAAAUCAAGUGAAACAAAAACAAAAGUUGUAGUUCUCGACCAGACGAAGACAAUGGUACCUUGUACGACAUCUAACUCACCGUGGCUUGACCGGAAAAUGCCUCGAAAUCCACGGAGGUCGCUCGAAACUGGGUAAGAUUUAAAUGGAUAUAACUUCUUCAAUACUCAACGAAAUCAGGUGAAACAAAAAGGAAAGUUGUAGUACUCAAUGAAACGAAGAGAUUGAUACCUUGCAUGCCUACCAACUCAUCGUGGUUUGGUCGAAAAAUGCCUCGAAAGAGGCUGUGUUUGCUAGAAAAUUUGGAAAAGCUUUCCCGAGCUAUUUUCUACGAUUUGAACGUAUACAUCACUUAACACAAGCUUCGAUAUAACCCUAAAAUACAACCUAAGGGUUUCUAGAAGCUUACCAACAUUGGAACAAUACGAAACUCGACAGAGAAGAUGAUGAACAGUAUCAGCCAAAAGGAAGAAAAGGGUUUGGGGUGUUCUUUCUUCAAUUUUUUUAGAACACAAGGGUGAUGGUGAUGAUGUUUUAUUGUGGUAGUGAUGUUUUAUGAUGAGGGUGUAUUGGUGUGUGUGUGUGUGUGUGUGUGUGUGUGUUCAUGGUGCCCUCAGGGCUGAGACAGAGAGAGGUAAGAAAGAGGUUAGGGAGAAUGAGAGAAAAGAAAGAGAGAGAUAGAGUUUACACGGGAAAAGGGGAGAAAGAGAGGAGAGAGACUGGGAGACAAAGCUCAUAGGGUGGGCCCCAUAUGGCUCACCAAUUAAGAUAAAAAAAACAAAUUUUAAUUGGGGGUGGGGUGUAACAAGCAGCCCGGACAUGGCAACCUAAACUGUUGCCCAUGCCACACCACUUCCUUAGCCCAUGCCUAGCCAAUCCUUGGGUUCAAUCAAGUCGAGCAGCACAAGUAAUGGCCCCUGCACACUAUCUCCUUAGUUCAUGCCAAACUGACUCCUGGCCCCUACCAGUCGACAACUGCUUCGUGGCAGCACCUCCUAAGAAGAAGACAAGGAGAAUUAAGUUUUUCUUACAUCGGUGUGGUGCGAAGAAGACAAAGAAAUCAAUGGAAGACGGUUUGCACAUGCAAGCAAAGAAGAGUGCUAGGGGAGGGGGAACAAAUAUCCUCUAUCUUUCUCUCUUUCUUGUAGGGAUAAAUAAUUGCCCUCCGAAGUUGAUUUAAUCCCCUACUUAAGGUAGGCUUAAAUAGGCUUUGUAGGCGAUUUAUUUCCCUUUU